AAAUAAAAAAAAGUCAGUAGUUUGACUGUUCAAACAAUUCAAUUGUCAGUAACUUGACAUAGCGAGGUAACAAUCUUGUUUUCUCAAAUUGCUGCAAAUAAUUUAUAUAAAUUGUAAUUUUUUUUAACUGUUAAAGACUUAAGUGAUGGCUUUACAGAAACUUUAGGCUGAAUAUACAUUCCGUGCAUUUUGUAGCAAAUUUUGAAAAUCUGUUACAGACUAGUUUUAAGUUCAUAUUUGGUUUAUACAGUGUAAAUAAUUUUUUCAAGUUUAUUUUUAGUUUUUGUUGUGUCUCAUGAUCUAAUGAAUUUAUAAAAUUUAUGUCCAAAAAAAAAAACUUUUUAAAGAAGGUUUUAAGGCAAUUGCAGUUCAUGCAUCCAACUUAUAAUUGCAUCAGGUAGAUACCAGAAAAGUUGAUUUUUAACCAAAAUAAAACCAAUAUUCAGCAGAAAAAGAAGUGUAAAGAUAA